CCGGCGGCCCGGCGCUCGAGCCCCGAAGGGGCGCCCCCGCGGCUGGCGUGCGCGGGCCGUCGCAGUUCCCGCGCUGCCCGCCGGGCGGCGCCCCGCGCCUCGACCGCGCUCCUCCCGCGCUGCCGUCUCCACGCUCGCUCGCAGCCGGACACAGACUCUGCCUUCAGCUGCCAGCGGAUCGCGCUGGAGCCGCCACGGCUGCUGCGGAAGAAGAAAGAAAAGGGAAACAACAGCCCGGCCGUCAGCGGAGCAGCGCCCAGCCCCAGCUCAGCCCUCGGAGUGCGGAGCCGCCCAGAGGGAAGUGACGGGGGCCCAGCAAUGUUAAGCAACUUGUCCAGGGUGAUCCAGCCAGGAAGUGACUGAGAAAGGAGACCAGACCUCACAUCCCUUCUGAAUAAGGCCUCGGACGUCAGAUAAAUCCAUGCUGUAUUAAAAUACGGUCUACUUGAGGAGGGCCCAGACCCAGGCCUCAUGGGCUUGUCGUGGGGCUUGAUGAAGUAACCACGUGGAGGGGCCAGCUCGCCGCACACGCACGGCGUGUGCAAGCCCAGUAACGUUGGCUCCCGGCACACCCUCCCCCUGGUCUUUGGACAAGGCAUUUAUCUUCUCUGAGCCUCAGUUUCCGCUUCCAGAACACACAGCUGGUGACUAGUGAAUGCAUACUCAGCAUGGAGAUGAACAAAUGAAUGAACAAGCGACUGGUCUUCAUGCCACCAGCCUGGAGUUAUGUCAUGCCCAGACCAGCAGAGGGCUCCAUGAGGAUUUAUAGAAGAUGCCCCGCGUCUCGGCGCCUUUGGUGCUGCUUCCCACGUGGCUCGUGAUGGUUGCCUGCAGUCCGCACUCCCUGAGGAUUGCUGCUAUCCUGGAUGACCCCAUGGAGUGCAGCAGAGGGGAGCGGCUGUCCAUCACCCUGGCCAAGAACCGCAUCAACCGUGCUCCCGAGAGGCUGGGCAAGGCCAAGGUCGAAGUGGACAUCUUUGAGCUUCUCAGAGACAGCGAGUACGAGACUGCAGAAACCAUGUGUCAGAUCCUUCCCAAGGGGGUGGUCGCUGUCCUGGGACCGUCCUCCAGCCCGGCCUCCAGCUCCAUCAUCAGCAACAUCUGUGGGGAGAAGGAGGUCCCUCAUUUCAAAGUGGCCCCGGAGGAGUUUAUCAAGUUCCAGUUCCAGAGAUUCACAACCCUGAACCUCCACCCCAGCAGCACUGACAUCAGCGUGGCUGUAGCUGGGAUCCUGAACUUCUUCAAUUGCACCACCGCCUGCCUCAUCUGUGCCAAAGCAGAAUGCCUUUUAAACCUCGAGAAGCUGCUCCGGCAAUUCCUGAUCUCCAAGGACACCCUCUCGGUCCGGAUGCUGGAUGACACUAGGGACCCCACCCCACUCCUCAAGGAGAUCCGGGACGACAAGACAGCCACCAUCAUCAUCCAUGCCAACGCGUCCAUGUCCCACACCAUCCUCCUGAAGGCAGCGGAACUAGGGAUGGUGUCAGCCUAUUACACAUACAUCUUCACUAAUCUGGAGUUUUCGCUCCAGAGGAUGGACAGCCUCGUGGAUGAUCGCGUCAACAUCCUGGGAUUUUCCAUUUUCAACCAGUCCCAUGCUUUCUUCCAAGAGUUUGCCCAGAGCCUCAACCAGUCCUGGCAGGAGAACUGUGACCAUGUGCCCUUCACGGGGCCCGCACUGUCCUCCGCCCUGCUGUUUGACGCCGUCUACGCUGUGGUGAUGGCGGUGCAGGAGCUGAACCGCAGCCAGGAGAUCGGCGUGAAGCCCCUGUCCUGUGGCUCAGCCCAGAUCUGGCAGCACGGCACCAGCCUCAUGAAUUACCUGCGCAUGGUAGAAUUGGAAGGUCUCACCGGCCACAUUGAAUUCAACAGCAAAGGCCAGAGGUCCAACUAUGCCUUGAAAAUCUUACAGUUCACAAGGAAUGGUUUCCGGCAGAUUGGCCAGUGGCACGUGGCAGACGGCCUCAGCAUGGACAGCCGCCUCUACGCCUCCAAUGUCUCCGACAGCCUCUUCAAUACCACCCUGGUCGUCACCACCAUCCUGGAAAACCCGUAUUUAAUGCUGAAGGGAAACCACCAGGAGAUGGAAGGCAAUGACCGCUACGAGGGCUUCUGCGUGGACAUGCUCAAGGAGCUGGCAGAGAUCCUCCGGUUCAACUACAAGAUCCGCCUGGUCGGGGACGGCGUGUACGGCGUGCCUGAGGCCAAUGGCACCUGGACGGGAAUGGUCGGGGAGCUGAUCGCUCGGAAAGCAGAUCUGGCCGUGGCGGGCCUCACCAUUACUGCUGAACGGGAGAAGGUGAUUGAUUUCUCAAAGCCAUUCAUGACUCUGGGAAUUAGCAUUCUUUACCGAGUUCAUAUGGGCCGCAGACCCGGCUAUUUCUCCUUCCUGGACCCUUUUUCUCCUGGCGUCUGGCUCUUCAUGCUUCUAGCCUAUCUGGCCGUCAGCUGUGUCCUCUUCCUAGUGGCUCGGUUGACGCCCUACGAGUGGUACACACCCCACCCGUGUGCCCAGGGCCGGUGCAACCUCCUGGUGAAUCAGUACUCCCUCGGCAACAGCCUCUGGUUUCCGGUCGGGGGCUUCAUGCAGCAGGGCUCCACCAUCGCGCCUCGCGCCUUAUCCACCCGCUGCGUCAGUGGCGUCUGGUGGGCAUUCACGCUGAUCAUCAUCUCAUCCUACACGGCCAACCUGGCAGCCUUCCUGACCGUGCAGCGCAUGGAUGUGCCCAUUGAGUCAGUGGAUGACCUGGCUGACCAGACCGCCAUUGAGUAUGGCACGAUUCACGGAGGCUCCAGCAUGACCUUCUUCCAAAAUUCCCGCUAUCAGACCUACCAGCGCAUGUGGAAUUACAUGUACUCCAAGCAGCCGAGUGUGUUCGUGAAGAGCACGGAGGAGGGGAUCGCCAGGGUGUUGAAUUCCAACUACGCCUUCCUUCUGGAAUCCACCAUGAAUGAGUACUAUCGGCAGCGCAACUGCAACCUCACUCAGAUUGGGGGCCUGCUGGACACCAAGGGCUAUGGGAUUGGCAUGCCAGUCGGUAUGCAGGAGAGGAACAGCCUCUUCGGGUAGCUCCACCCAGGCAGGCUCAGGGUAGCUCAAACCGUCGAAUGCAGCCUUGAAGUCAACAGCCCCUGUUUCUAGAGCCAGGUUCACAGUGACUUGAGAUAGGCAUUCUUAAGGUUUUUAAAAAAAGCCAAUCCACAUCCUUCCAAGUCAUCAGGGAUUAGUACCCAGUCCUUAAUUAUGGAAGGGCUAACUGAUUAGUUAUUAAUAGAUUAAUUAUUAAAGGGCACAUGGAUGCCCUUGGUGUAUUCUUUUUUUUUUUUUUUUUUUUGCCACACCACACAGCUAGCUUGUGAGAUCUGAGUUCCCCAACCAGGGAUUGAACCCAGGCCCUGGGCAGUGAAAGCAUCGAGUCCUGCCCUUUGGCCAUUUCUCUGAUGUCCGACAUCUCUACUAGCAGUGGAAAGGAGAAGGAAGAGAUGGUAGGACUCAAGUGAAUUAAUUUUGCUAUUAGUGUCCCUGGUGACAGGUUUACUACGAAAGCGGACUGAUGUGAUCGGAGGAGAUGGCUUUCACAUCACCUGUGGAUCUCACUGGUCCAUCUGCUCUGGGUCAGAGCAGGUAGCUGAGAGUGGGCAGGAAAGCUCUGGCAUUCACCUUGCUGACUGUGCCGUCGGUUUGUUAUAGGAAGGUAGAGAUGCUUGGCUUCCAGAAAGGUAUCCCAGCUGUGUCUUGUAAAGAAUAUCCCUGCUUUAGGCCUUCCCCUGCUGAUGGUUCCUCUAUCAGAAGGUGGGGGGGGGGGAGCAUGUUUGUGACUCUGUGACUGUGGAGGAGGUCUGGAAAUGUCCCCCAGUGUUUCAGACAUGUACCCUUCCCACACACACACCAUGGAGAGCCACAUUGUAUAGGGCUGUCCUUGUCCAAGUCUGUCCUCAUGCAAGGUUGUCCUGAAACCAAACAGCGGGGGAAGAAGCAGGAAUGGAGGAAAUCAUCUCAUGUGGGGAAAUUGAUACACAGGAUGUGCAUCUUUGUUGGUAUGUUACACACCACUUCCCUCCCUUUUUGUUUUUGGAAGUAUAGUUGAUUUACAAUGUUGUGUUAGUUUCAGGUGUAAGUUAGUUUCAGGAAAGUGUUUCAGGUAUAUAUCUAUUCUUUUUCAGAUUCUUUUCCCUUACAGGUUAUUACAAAAUAUUGAGUAUAGUCCCCUGUGCUAUACAGUAGGUCCUUGUUGGUUGUCUAUUGUAUAUAUAGUAGUGUCACACCCCUUCUCUUGAUCGGUACCUAACUCAGAGCUCUAUAAAUUAUAGGCCUCACUUAUACCUGUGUCAUGUGAAGGGCAUGGGAUGGAGUCAGGUAGAUCUGGGAAUGCACCCUGCUUCCUGGCUGUGGGGCCUUGGAUAGGUUAGUUAACCUCUCAGAGUCUCAAUUAUCGCAUUUUUAAAUUCAGGUUUCUAAUAUGUACCUCAGAGGGUUGUUACAAAGGUUAAACUGAAUAAUCUGGCCUCACCACAGUGUUUUCAUCACACUUAGCCUGUUAGGGGCAACAUUAGUGCCCUCCCCACAUUUUCCAAUGUUCCCUCUGUUAUUUGAUAAAAGCAGAUGACUUCUUCAAGACUGAUCAGAAACCAAGCCAAUGAAUAUAGGCAAUAAUAUGGUUCACUCUUGAACUCUGUCAUUUCUGACCCUAGUAGUUCUGUAAACCGGAAGCCUCACUCAGGGCACCUGCAUACCCUCCACUUAGCAUCAUAUUUCAUUGAUUUCAUUAAUAAUACAGAUUAUGGGCCCCUUUGAGAAAUUUACUGGUUGACAUUGUGUUUCAAGAUGGUGGAGGGAAGCACAAAAUGAACCUAAGGUGCACCUGGAAAUACUCUAGCAACUUAAUCAAGUUAACUGAACUGUCAAGUGCUUCAAAAGUUUUCAUGGCACAAACCUGUAGAGUUGGCAUAAAGCAGACUGACUCUAGAAAUUCUCAUCAGUAACCAAGGAAAAGGGGAGGCAAAUGCAUUGGUUCUGUGUCUGAGGUGAUGCUGUUUCCAUAUGUGUUAUCUUAGUCUUAUCCCACCUGCAGGGGAGAUGUGGUUCUUCCCAUUCUAGAGGAGAGAACUGAGAUUCAGAGCUGAUAAGUUACUUGUCCAAGGUCACAGAAUAAGUGGAGAGAAAAGCUGUGCUUGAGCCUAGGGGGCCUAUCUCCAAAUCCAGCAUUUCACCUCUCAGACCGUGUUGCCAAACGGGUCCACCAGCUCGACAGGACAGGAUAGAUGGGGAAGGCUCCGUCUUCCGGGACGAGUUUGAUCUGGCCAUUCUCCAGUUGCAGGAGAACAACCGUCUGGAAAUUCUGAAGCGCAAGUGGUGG